CAGCAGCAGCCGCGGUAAUACGGAGGGAGCUAGCGUUGUUCGGAAUUACUGGGCGUAAAGCGCGCGUAGGCGGUUACUCAAGUCAGAGGUGAAAGCCCGGGGCUCAACCCCGGAACUGCCUUUGAAACUAGGUGACUAGAAUCUUGGAGAGGUCAGUGGAAUUCCGAGUGUAGAGGUGAAAUUCGUAGAUAUUCGGAAGAACACCAGUGGCGAAGGCGACUGACUGGACAAGUAUUGACGCUGAGGUGCGAAAGCGUGGGGAGCAAACAGGAUUAGAUACCCCAGUAGUCCCUGUCUCUUAUAC
rnacentral:rRNA from 1 species